AUAAUUAUUAUUGUACGUAUAUAUAUUUAUUUAUUUAUUAGUCAAUUAAUUACUUUUAUUUUAGAGAGCUGUUAUUGUCAGACUUUCAACGAUGAAACAGACCAAGGAUCAAAGGAUUUUAGCUUGUUGAUUUUUAAUACUUAAAGUACCAAGACCAUUAAUUUUAAUGAGCGAUGUGGUAAAGCUGGUCUCAAUUUUUCAUCUAUGUCGGUGUAAAAUAUUUCAGCUUCUGUUUUAAAGCCAUGUUUUUCAAAUACUUUUUGAGAAUAAAUUCCUGUUGCGUCUGCUUUUAUUACCUAAAACCUGAAGAUAUGUACCUUUAAUAAAAUAAUAAUAAAAUAACAAGUACCUUGACACUGACAAAAACAACGAACAACAUGCAGAAAAUAGGUGAUAUCGGUCAAUAACAUCUUACAACCUUAAAGCCAGCGCGUUUGGCCACAUCAACAGUAUCAGCCAUCAGGACAUUAGCUAGCCCACGGCCACGGAACUCUUCAUCAACGCUGAGGAU